GAUGAACGCUAGCGAUAGGCUUAACACAUGCAAGUCGAGGGGCAGCAUGGUCUUAGCUUGCUAAGGCUGAUGGCGACCGGCGCACGGGUGCGUAACGCGUAUGCAACUUGCCUCACAGAGGGGGAUAACCCGUCGAAAGACGGACUAAUACCGCGUACACUCUAUGUUGGGCAUCCAAUGUAGAGGAAAUGAAAUUCGCUGUGAGAUAGGCAUGCGUCCCAUUAGCUAGUUGGUGAGGUAACGGCUCACCAAGGCGACGAUGGGUAGGGGAACUGAGAGGUUGAACCCCCACCCUGGUACUGAGACACGGACCAGACUCCUACGGGAGGCAGCAGUGAGGAAUAUUGGUCAAUGGGCGAGAGCCUGAACCAGCCAAGUCGCGUGAAGGAUGACUGUCUUAUGGAUUGUAAACUUCUUUUAUACGGGAAUAACAAGAGUCACGUGUGGCUCCCUGCAUGUACCGUAUGAAUAAGCAUCGGCUAACUCCGUG
rnacentral:rRNA from 1 species